rnacentral:ncRNA from 1 species
AACAACGAACAGUAAGAAGUCAGCAGAGGUCGUAGUACCGCCAAGGCUUGGCAGGCGGAAAGGA